rnacentral:lncRNA from 10 species
GAAUUGCCUGAAGGAAGUGAGAGUGUAUAGCCUGAUGCCGAGAAGAAAAAGCCUGGGGGUAACAUACAGAGUGAGAACUGACAGCUCUUUUUAAGUCUUUCAAGGGCCAUCAUGUGGAAGAUGGAGUAGGAGGCCCAGCAAGCAGAUUUGAGAGAUUGUGCUCUGUACUUGUGCAAUCUAAUUGUGUCCUGUUAGAAAGGAGAUGUCCUGGGAAACUCAGAUUAAGCCUCAACCAGCAGACAAAAG